AUUGAACGCUGGCGGCAGGCUUAACACAUGCAAGUCGAGCGGAGCGAGGGUGCUUGCACCUUAGCUUAGCGGCGGACGGGUGAGUAAUGCUUAGGAAUCUGCCUAUUAGUGGGGGACAACAUUCCGAAAGGGAUGCUAAUACCGCAUACGCCCUACGGGGGAAAGCAGGGGAUCUUCGGACCUUGCGCUAAUAGAUGAGCCUAAGUCGGAUUAGCUAGUUGGUGGGGUAAAGGCCUACCAAGGCGACGAUCUGUAGCGGGUCUGAGAGGAUGAUCCGCCACACUGGGACUGAGACACGGCCCAGACUCCUACGGGAGGCAGCAGUGGGGAAUAUUGGACAAUGGGGGGAACCCUGAUCCAGCCAUGCCGCGUGUGUGAAGAAGGCCUUUUGGUUGUAAAGCACUUUAAGCGAGGAGGAGGCGCUCUAGGAUAAUACCCUAGAUGCGUGGACGUAAUUCGCAGAAA
rnacentral:rRNA from 1 species